CCCCUAGUAACUGCGAGUGAAGCGGGAAAAGCUCAAAUUUAAAAUCUGGCGGUCUUUGGUCGUCCGAGUUGUAGUCUGGAGAAGUGCUUUCCGCGCUGGACCGUGUAUAAGUCUCUUGGAACAGAGCGUCAUAGAGGGUGAGAAUCCCGUCUUUGACACGGACUACCAGUGCUUUGUGAUGCGCUCUCAAAGAGUCGAGUUGUUUGGGAAUGCAGCUCAAAAUGGGUGGUGAAUUCCAUCUAAAGCUAAAUAUUGGCGAGAGACCGAUAGCGAACAAGUACCGUGAGGGAAAGAUGAAAAGCACUUUGGAAAGAGAGUUAAACAGUACGUGAAAUUGCUGAAAGGGAAACGCUUGAAGUCAGUCGCGUUGUCUGGGACUCAGCCUUGCUUUUGCUUGGUGCACUUUCCGGAUGACGGGCCAGCAUCGAUUUUGACCGUCGGAAAAGGGCUAGGGUAAUGUGGCACCUCCGGGUGUGUUAUAGACUUUAGUCGCAUACGGCGGUCGGGAUCGAGGAACGCAGCGCGCCGUAAGGCAGGGGUUCGCCCACUUUCGCGCUUAGGAUGCUGGCGUAAUGGCUUUAAACGACCCGUCUUGAAACACGGACCAAGGAGUCUAACAUACCUGCGAGUGUUUGGGUGGAAAACCCGAGCGCGUAAUGAAAGUGAAAGUUGAGACCUCUGUCGUGGAGGGCAUCGACGCCCGGACCUGACGUUCUCUGACGGAUCCGCGGUAGAGCAUGUAUGUUGGGACCCGAAAGAUGGUGAACUAUGCCUGAAUAGGGUGAAGCCAGAGGAAACUCUGGUGGAGGCUCGUAGCGAUUCUGACGUGCAAAUCGAUCGUCAAAUUUGGGUAUAGGGGCGAAAGACUAAUCGAACCAUCUAGUAG
rnacentral:rRNA from 1 species